rnacentral:rRNA from 1 species
AGAGUUUGAUCAUGGCUCAGAUUGAACGCUGGCGGCAGGCCUAACACAUGCAAGUCGAACGGUAACAGGAAGAAGCUUGCUUCUUUGCUGACGAGUGGCGGACGGGUGAGUAAUGUCUGGGAAACUGCCUGAUGGAGGGGGAUAACUACUGGAAACGGUAGCUAAUACCGCAUAACGUCGCAAGACCAAAGAGGGGGACCUUCGGGCCUCUUGCCAUCGGAUGUGCCCAGAUGGGAUUAGCUAGUAGGUGGGGUAACGGCUCACCUAGGCGACGAUCCCUAGCUGGUCUGAGAGGAUGACCAGCCACACUGGAACUGAGACACGGUCCAGACUCCUACGGGAGGCAGCAGUGGGGAAUAUUGCACAAUGGGCGCAAGCCUGAUGCAGCCAUGCCGCGUGUAUGAAGAAGGCCUUCGGGUUGUAAAGUACUUUCAGCGGGGAGGAAGGGAGUAAAGUUAAUACCUUUGCUCAUUGACGUUACCCGCAGAAGAAGCACCGGCUAACUCCGUGCCAGCAGCCGCGGUAAUACGGAGGGUGCAAGCGUUAAUCGGAAUUACUGGGCGUAAAGCGCACGCAGGCGGUUUGUUAAGUCAGAUGUGAAAUCCCCGGGCUCAACCUGGGAACUGCAUCUGAUACUGGCAAGCUUGAGUCUCGUAGAGGGGGGUAGAAUUCCAGGUGUAGCGGUGAAAUGCGUAGAGAUCUGGAGGAAUACCGGUGGCGAAGGCGGCCCCCUGGACGAAGACUGACGCUCAGGUGCGAAAGCGUGGGGAGCAAACAGGAUUAGAUACCCUGGUAGUCCACGCCGUAAACGAUGUCGACUUGGAGGUUGUGCCCUUGAGGCGUGGCUUCCGGAGCUAACGCGUUAAGUCGACCGCCUGGGGAGUACGGCCGCAAGGUUAAAACUCAAAUGAAUUGACGGGGGCCCGCACAAGCGGUGGAGCAUGUGGUUUAAUUCGAUGCAACGCGAAGAACCUUACCUGGUCUUGACAUCCACAGAACUUUCCAGAGAUGGAUUGGUGCCUUCGGGAACUGUGAGACAGGUGCUGCAUGGCUGUCGUCAGCUCGUGUUGUGAAAUGUUGGGUUAAGUCCCGCAACGAGCGCAACCCUUAUCCUUUGUUGCCAGCGGUCCGGCCGGGAACUCAAAGGAGACUGCCAGUGAUAAACUGGAG